rnacentral:rRNA from 1 species
AUGACGCGCGCCGGCGGCCGGAGCCCCCUGGCCCCUCGCCGCACGCUCCCGGCCACCGUGGUGGACGACACCGUCGCGGCCGCCGCCAUCCUGCUCGACAAGUGGCACCCGGACGAGGACUCCUUCGGCAGCUCCCUCUUCCUCGACUCCACCCCCGACGAGGUCGACGCCUUCCUGCGCGCCGCCAAGGACCUCCACCGCGCCAUGCUCUUCUACGCCUCUGGCGCCGCCACCGCCGCCGACGCCCUCCACGCCGGGGGCCAUGGCCUCAUCCACGCGCAGGAGCUCCUCGACACCGCCAUGCGGAGGCUCCAGCGCGAGCUCCAGCUGCUCCUCACCUCCCUCCCCGCCGUCCUCCACUUCCGCCAAGAUGAUGAUGAUGACGACGAGCAAGAGGAUGACCAAAGCCUGGUAGACGCCUGUGCUCACCUUCGCGUGGUCGCGGAGGCCAUGAUGGCCGCCGGGUACGGCAAGGAGUGCGUGUCCAUCUUCAAGGCUCGCCGACGCGCGGCGGUCACCGCCAACCUGCAGCGCCUGCACGGCUUCUCGCUGUCCCCGCAGCACGCGCAGGUCCAUAAGUUCUCCUGGGAGCAGGUCGACGCCAAGAUACAGUCCUGGCUCGCCGGCGCGCGCGUCGCCUUCACGUCCGUCUUCUCCGCCGAGCGGGAGCUCUGCGACCGCGUCUUCGUCGGCGACAACGAGGGCGUCGGCGACGCGGUGUUCGGUGCCAUCGCGGACGAUCAUGCCACCAACAUCCUAGCGGUCGCCGAGGCUGCCGUCGGGCGGUCACGGCGCGCGCCGGAGCGGCUGUUCCGCGUGCUCGACGUCCACGACGCGCUCACCGAGACCAUACUCCCGGCCAUCGUCUCCGCGUUCGGGGAAAAGUCGGAGGUCACUUCCCGCGCCGCCACCCUCGUGACGACCAAGGUCAGCGAGGCGGUCCGGAGCAUGGUGGCCAGCUUCGAGGCAGCCAUCGAGAAAGAGCCGUCCAAGGGCACGGUGCCCGGCGGCGCAGUGCACCCGCUCACCCGCUACGUCAUGAACUACCUCAGCUUCCUCGCCGACUACGAGAACGCGCUGGCUCACAUAUACUUCUACCAGCAAGGAGUCGGGGCAGGAGGAGACCAGUUCACGGACACGUCAUCCCUCGCCUCUGGCAGCAUGGCCUCCUCUUCGGAUCUCUCGUCGUCGUCGUCGUCCUCGCCGGCGUUGAGCGUGUGGUCGAACCCCAUCGGUUGGCUCGUGCAUGUGCUGCUACGGAAGCUGGACGCGAAGGCCGGGAGCUACCGGGAACCGGCGCUGAGCUACCUGUUCCUGGCGAACAACACGCACUACGUGGCCAAGAAGGUGGGCGGCGGCACGAAGCUGGAGCGGGUCCUCGGGGAGGAGUGGGCGGAGGCGCAGAGGGCCAAGGCGCGCGGGUACGUUGACGUGUACGUGCGCGCGGCGUGGGGGAGCAAGGUGCUUCGCGGCGGCGCGGUGGAGGAGGCGGUGGUGCAGAUGGUGGCGAUGCAAGAGAAAUGGGUGGCGGCAGACGACGAGAUGGGGGAGGCGCUGAGAGCGGCGGCGAAGGAGGCCGUGGUGCCGAUGUACAGGCUCUUCUACCGACGGCAGGGAGCUGUGGCCAGACUGACGCCGGGGGACGUGAUCACCAUGAUAGACGGGCUGUUCGGCGGGCGGAAUGCGGGAGCAGGUGACGAGAACGUCGCCGCAGGUGGUCGCCGGCGGCCGUCACAGCAGCAGCAGCAGCAGCAAGAGGUUCCGGUCGAAAUCAGAAAUGGGAAAACAAGGAGACAGCGCGUCACUAUCACUGAUUAA